ACAUCCUCAACUCUUUGUUAUCUUUUUAUUUUGAGACUAAGACACUAAGUUGCCCAGGCUGGGCUCUAACUUGUGAUCCUCUUGCCGCAGCUUCCCAUCUGAAGAGGCUGAGGGGGAAGGGUUGCCAAUUUCAAGGCCAGUCAGCUUGGGCAGCUUAGUGAGACCUUGUCUCAAAAAUUUAAAAGUUACAUGGGUGUGUGCUAUAAAAAUCCACUGUAAACUGUGCUCUAAAAAAAUGUCAAGUAAGUGUUUUCCAAAUUAAGGGGAAAUUGUAUUGAAGCUCAUUCCUAGUUGCAGUCUAAUCUGUGGUCUCAAUGUUUCUAGGGAUCUUGCCGAACUCCGGGCCCCCAAAAAAGCGCCACAAAGGGUGGUCCCCAGAGUCCCCAUUGGUGGCAGAUGCCGGCUACCCUCAGGGCGGUGUGAACAGAGCUAAGUACGGCGUGGGCCUGGCCUGUGUGCCCCAGGCGGGAGUGGUAGGCCCGGCUUCAGUCACUUUUCCUGUUGUGGCCUCCGGAGAGCCUGUGUCUGUUCCUGACAAUUUGCUGAAAAUUUGCAAAGCCAAGCCGGUGAUAUUUAAAGGCCACGGGAACUUCCCCUACCUGUGUGGGAACCUGAAUGACGUGGUGGUCAGCCCGCUGCUGUACACCUGCUACCAGAACUCCCAGUCCGUCUCCAGGGCCUAUGAGCAGUACGGCUCCUCCACCGUGCAGCCCAUCUCCGAGGAGAUGCAGCUCCUUCUCACAGUCUACUACCUCGUCCAGCUGGCGGCCGACCAGGUGCCGCUGAUGGAGGACCUGGAGCAGAUCCUGCUGCGCUCCUGGCGCGAGUCGCACCUGGCUGAGGUCCGGCAGUGCCCGCCGGUGCCCCUGCAGUCCUGCCCACCCAUGCCCGGCCCUGUGGCACCUGUGACCUCGGCGCAGCUGCCCUGGCUGGCCGGCCUGGCUGCCAGCUCCUGCAACGACAGCGUCCACGUCAUUGAGUGCACCUACUCGCUGGCUGAGGGCCUGGCCGAAAUGUUCCGCCUGCUGGUCGAGGGCAAGCUGGCCAAGACCAACUACGUGGUCAUCAUCCGCGCCUGCCGAAAUGCCGCCAUCGACUCCUGCAUCGCUGUCACCGGUGAGCUGGCCCUUGCACCGGCCUGGCUGCCAGCUCCUGCAACGACAGCGUCCACGUCAUUGAGUGCACCUACUCGCUGGCUGAGGGCCUGGCCGAAAUGUUCCGCCUGCUGGUCGAGGGCAAGCUGGCCAAGACCAACUACGUGGUCAUCAUCCGCGCCUGCCGAAAUGCCGCCAUCGACUCCUGCAUCGCUGUCACCGGUGAGCUGGCCCUUGCACUACCUGGGGGCCCCAGCUUUGCAGGAGUGGCUGGUGCCCAAGGCCUGUGACCCAAGCUGGCUUCAGCAGGCAGCCCUGCUGGGUACAGUGGUAACACACCCCUGUUGUCCCUGCCUCUGGGGGCUGAGGCAGGAGGAUCUCAAGUUCAAGUCCAGCCUGGGCAAUUUGACAUUAUCUCUCUCUCAAAAAAAGAAUCAUUCACAGCAAGACUCAGUCCCUCAUUUUCCUCACCGGUGGAAGGGAGAUAAGAAACAGUGAACUUACUGUGUUGUGGG
rnacentral:lncRNA from 1 species